rnacentral:snRNA from 1 species
GUGAUUGCUUUAACACUGCAUAUACUAAAAUUGGAAUGAUACAGAAAAGAUUAGCAUGGCCCCAAUAUAAGGAGGACACGCAAAUAUAUGACAAAGGAGCCAAGAAUAU